rnacentral:lncRNA from 1 species
UCCAACCACAUGGCAGGACACGCUAGCUGUCCACCAGGUGUUCCUGCUCCCUUUCCGUAAAGUAAGGAUCUUUUCAUCCCAGGCCAUACUUCCCAGCCACCCCAGGCUCCAGGCUUGGACCCUUUUGAAACCAGCAUGAUAGAUUUCAUUUCCCUUCUCUUGGGCUUUCUCAUUUUUGUGUUGAACUCAAACAUAGAACUUGACAUGUAUCUCCAGGACAUUUCAACAUUUGAUUUCUCUUCACCAUGCUAAGCUAUGCAAGCCUUUUUGAACAUUGCUUUUCCUAUCCAACGUAUAUUAAUUUCUUUGGGGGCAUUUGAAUACUCUGAGUUCAUCUAGGUUACCGAUAAAAACAGUGACCACAACAGAGCCCUGUAGCACUCCACUACAGACUUUUUUCCAGGAGUUAAUGCAAUGGUGCUGCAGUUGGCAGAGAGUGAGGAAAGAGAUUACUGACUGCACCAGACCCAGGUUAGGAAGAGUUACUGUACUGGGGCCCUGUAUGUAGCAGGGUUCACAGCCUGGGUGAUG